rnacentral:sRNA from 1 species
CUGCUGCCCCUGAGGCAGCUGUAUCUGCUGCUGCGCCUGUGGCAGCUGUAUCUGCUGCUGCACCAGUGGCAGCUGUAUCUGCGGCUGCCCCUGAAACAGCUGUAUCUGUGGCUGCCCCUGAAACAGCUGUAUCUGCGGCUGCCCCUGAAACAGCUGUAUCUGCGGCUGCCCCUGAAGCAGAUGUAUCUGCUGCUGUGG